rnacentral:rRNA from 1 species
GACGAACGCUGGCGGCGUGCUUAACACAUGCAAGUCGAACGGUAACAGGGUGCUUGCACCGCUGACGAGUGGCGAACGGGUGAGUAAUGCGUCGGAACGUGCCGAGUAGUGGGGGAUAACGCAGCGAAAGUUGUGCUAAUACCGCAUACGUACUGAGGUAGAAAGUGGGGGACCUUCGGGCCUCACGCUAUUCGAGCGGCCGACGUCUGAUUAGCUAGUAGGUGAGGUAAAGGCUCACCUAGGCGACGAUAAGUAGCGGGGCUGAGAGGAUGAUCCGCCACACUGGGACUGAGACACGGCCCAGACCCCUACGGGAGGCAGCAGUGGGGAAUUUUGGACAAUGGGCGAAAGCCUGAUCCAGCCAUGCCGCGUGUCUGAAGAAGGCCUUCGGGUUGUAAAGGACUUUUGUCAGGGAGGAAAUUCCUAGUGCUAAUAACACUGGGGGAUGACAGUACCUGAAGAAUAAGCACCGGCUAACUACGUGCCAGCAGCCGCCGUAACAC